rnacentral:rRNA from 1 species
UCCCAGCUUGCUCUGGUUUGGUCAGCGGUGGACGGGUGAGUAACACGUGGGCCACCUGCCCGCAAGACCGGGUAUCACUCCGGGAAACCGGAGCUAAUACCGGAUAACACCGAAGACCGUGUGGGCUUUGGUUGAAAGGCGGCCUUUGGUUGUCACUUGUUGAUGGGCCCGCGGCCCAUUAGCUAGUUGGUGAGGUUACGGCUCACCCAGGCGACCAUGCGUAGCCCGCCUGACAGGGUGACCGGGCACAUUGGGACUGAUCACCCGGCCCACACUCCUACGGGAGGCAGCAGUAGUGAAUCUUCCGCAAUGGCCGAAAGCCUGACGGAGCGACGCCGCGCGAGCGAAGAAGGACUUCGCGUCGUAUAGCUCUGUUGUGAGGGACGAAGGAGCGCCGUUCGAAGAGGGCGUCGCGCUGACGGUACCUCACGAUGAAUCCCCGGCUAACUACGUGCCAGCAGCCGCGGUAAUACGUAGGGGGCGAGCGUUGUACGGAAUUAUUGGGCGCAAAGGGUGGGGAGGCGGUCUCUUAAUUCUGAUGUGAAACCCCACGGCUCACCCGUGGAGGGUCAUUGGAAACUGGCGGACUUGAGUGCCCGAGAGGAGAGCUGACUUCCACGUGUAGCGGUGAAAUGCGUAGAGAUGGGGAGGAAACACCAGGGCGAGUGCGGCUCUCUGGCCCUGCAACUGACGCUGAGGCGUGAAAGCGUGGGGAGCAAACAGGAUUAGAUACCCUGGUAGUUCACGCCGUAAACGAUGAGUGCUAAGUGUUAGAGGGGUCACAUCUUUUAUUGUUGCAGCUAACGCGAUAAGCACUCCGCAUGGGGAGUACGGCGGCAAGGGUGAAACUCAAAGGAAUUGACGGGGGCCCGCACAAGCGGUGGAGCAUGUGGUUUAAUUCGAAGCAACGCGAAGAACCUUAUCAGGUCUUGACAUCCCCUGACAACGCAAGAGAUUGGUCGUUACCCCUUCGGGGGGACAGGGUGACAGGUGGUGCAUGGUUGUCGUCAGCUCGAGUAGAGAGAUGUUGGGUUAAGUCCCUCAACGAGCGCAAGCCUCGCCUCUAUUUGCCAGCACGAAGGUGGGCACUAUAGAGGGACUGCCGGCGACAAGUGGGAGGAAGGUGGGGAUGACGUCAAAUCAUCAUGCUCUUUAUGUCAUGGGUUACACACGUGGUACAAUGGGCGGUACAAAGGGCUGCGAACCCGCGAGGGGGAGGGAAUCCCAAAAAGACGCUCUCAGUUAGGACCGCAGGUCGCAACUAGCCCGCACGAUGCUGGAAUUUAUAGUAAUUGAGGUUCAGCAUGCCGCAGUGAAUACGUUCCCGGG